GGAGAGGUGCGAGAGUGGUUUAAUCGGCACGCCUGGAGAGCGUGUGUGACGGAGACGUCACCGCGGGUUCGAAUCCCGCCCUCUCCG
rnacentral:tRNA from 1 species